rnacentral:lncRNA from 1 species
GGAAUAAUGCGUCCGGCCGGAACAGUUUAUUUCUGAAAUGUACCCGGCCGGAUUCAUUUUAUCGGACACUUCACCGGCCGGAUAGUUUCUCUUUAGGCAUAAAAUACUUUAUUAAAUCUAUCUGUAUGUUUACGUUAAUUAUUACUAUUUUACUGAAUUUAAUUUAAUUAUAAUUGUUUAAUUAUUAAUUAUUGAAACUGUUAUUGCUUGGUAUUAAUUAAAUUGCAGUUUUUUAAUAUAUUACUGAAUUUAAUUAAAUUGCUUGGUAUUAAUUGCAG